rnacentral:rRNA from 1 species
GGGUAGUUUGACUGGGGCGGUCUCCUCCUAAAGAGUAACGGAGGAGCACGAAGGUCAGCUAAUCCUGGUCGGACAUCAGGAGGUUAGUGCAAUGGCAUAAGCUGGCUUGACUGCGAGCGUGACGGCGCGAGCAGGUGCGAAAGCAGGUCAUAGUGAUCCGGUGGUUCUGAAUGGAAGGGCCAUCGCUCAACGGAUAAAAGGUACUCCGGGGAUAACAGGCUGAUACCGCCCAAGAGUUCAUAUCGACGGCGGUGUUUGGCACCUCGAUGUCGGCUCAUCACAUCCUGGGGCUGAAGUAGGUCCCAAGGGUAUGGCUGUUCGCCAUUUAAAGUGGUACGCGAGCUGGGUUUAGAACGUCGUGAGACAGUUCGGUCCCUAUCUGCCGUGGGCGCUGGAGAAUUGAGGGGGGCUGCUCCUAGUACGAGAGGACCGGAGUGGACGCAUCACUGGUGUUCGGGUUGUCAUGCCAAUGGCAUUGCCCGGUAGCUAAAUGCGGAAGAGAUAAGUGCUGAAAGCAUCUAAGCACGAAACUUGCCCCGAGAUGAGUUCUCCCUGACUCCUUGAG